UCUCUCUCUCUCUCUCUCUCUCUCUCUCUCUCUCUCUCUCUCUCUCCUCCCAGCGAGGUCAGAUUGUUCGCGAUGCUUCAGAAAACACGUGUGGUUAUAACAAUAAAAAUAUGUUGUUAACCCUCUCCUCAGUUCAGAGAAAAAGCACCGGUCUCGUCCUCCUCGCACCUACACCCCCCCCCCCCCCCCCCUCCCCCCAACCUCUGAGUUCUCACCGCCUCCCCGCUCUCUCCCCACUACUACUCUCCCUUACUUUCUCCUCCUCGCUCGCUCUCAUAUUCCGCAUAAAGGACUCACAUUUCACUGAAGGAGGAGAAUCAAGGCUCCACUCCUUCCCUCCUCUCAUCCCGCUCCUAUUCCUACCCAGCGCAUCUCCCCUCUCUCCUUUCGAAUCCUGAGCUUCACUCCCCUUCUUCCUCCACUCACUGCAUUCUGCUCUGCUUCACUCAUCCUACUCUCCUUUCUCUACCUUCACUUCGGGCCACCGCGCUACUCUGUUUUACCCCUCAGACCUCUGGCGCUCUUGCUUGGGACACUGCAGUCUGUCAUUACUUGUUAAGAGUUUAAUCUUUUGCUUUCAUGAAUAGUAUUUGUCUGAGGAGACAACUUUUUUUGCUGUUUCAGUUUCUCAUUCAGAUUUUAUAUUAAAAAUAAGUUUGUUUUUCCAGAAUUUUUGGGGGAAACAAAGUUUGUGGAUAAAGACGUGGCGACACUCAGGUCAUUUCAACCUGCCUCUAAUUAACGAGGAUGCCCUUCCUGCACGAUUAUGACCAUUACGAUCCGGCAGAGGAGCGUCGUAGCCAACUGGGCCAGACGGACAAGCGGGACGAGGCGAGGCGUAUUACUGCUCCGACUCCUGACCUGUGAACUAGC